rnacentral:rRNA from 1 species
UACGGAGGGUGCAAGCAUUAAUCGGAUUUAUUGGGCGUAAAGAGCUCGUAGGCGGUUUGUCGCGUCUGCCGUGAAAGUCCGGGGCUCAACUCCGGAUCUGCGGUGGGUACGGGCAGACUAGAGUGAUGUAGGGGAGACUGGAAUUCCUGGUGUAGCGGUGGAAUGCGCAGAUAUCAGGAGGAACACCAAUGGCGAAGGCAGAUCUCUGGGCCGUAACUGACGCUGAGGAGCGAAAGCAUGGGGAGCGAACAGG